rnacentral:rRNA from 1 species
GAGUUUGAUCCUGGCUCAGAUUGAACGCUGGCGGCGGGCCUAACACAUGCAAGUCGAGCGAGAAAGGGGGUUCGCCCCCGAGUACAGCGGCGGACGGGUGAGUAACACGUAGGUAACCUUCCCUUGAGCGGGGGACAACGUUCCGAAAGGGACGCUAAUACCGCAUACGUUUCAGACCUCUCUGGGGGUCUGAAGGAAAGCUAGGCCGCAAGGUCUGGCACUCGAGGAGGGGCCUGCGUCGCAUCAGCUAGUUGGUGGGGUAACGGCCUACCAAGGCGAAGACGCGUAGCUGGUCUGAGAGGAUGAUCAGCCACACUGGGACUGAGACACGGCCCAGACUCCUACGGGAGGCAGCAGUGGGGAAUAUUGGACAAUGGGCGCAAGCCUGAUCCAGCCACGCCGCGUGAGUGAUGAAGGCCUUC